rnacentral:rRNA from 1 species
UACGUAGGUGACAAGCGUUGUCCGGAUUUACUGGGCGUAAAGAGCGCGCAGGCGGUCGUUCAAGUCGAGUGUGAAAGCCCCCGGCUCAACUGGGGAGGGUCACUCGAUACUGAUCGACUCGAAGGCAGGAGAGGGAAGUGGAAUUCCCGGUGUAGUGGUGAAAUGCGUAGAUAUCUGGAGGAACACCGGUGGCGAAGGCGGCAUCCUGGACCGGCAUUGACGCUGAGGCGCGAAAGCCAGGGGAGCAAACGGG